GAUAUAAAACUGCGACCGUAGUCAGCCGUAGUUGCGCACAGCACGUGUGCCAUGGCGGCUGCCAUGUCAAGGCGAGGCGUCACGCGAGGUGUGCGUGUUAGUGAAUGAACGAUGUGUUUUUAAGGAACCCGUGGUGUUAGCGCCUGCGCAAUCUCAUUCGUGCAGUAAUAUAUUUGGAUAGUUUUAUCUAUGGAUGCUGUUAAUACUUCAAAACAACGCAAGGCAACUGUUUUACCCCUGUCCUUCGCGGCUUUGUGGAUCUAUCAGCGUGCAUCGAUGUGCAGCGUUUUCCCCGGCGCCGAUUUGCCAUCUCGAGGUUUUUUUAACCACUUCAUCAAAAGGACGUCCUCUGGUCGAAGUCAACGAAAAGCUCUCAAUCAAGAUUGCUGACCUGACGAAGAUCUCGAAAGAGGAAUCUGUAAAAAGAUAUGCUGUGCUAAUAAAUGCUUCUAGAAAUUUUA